rnacentral:rRNA from 1 species
GAACGCUGGCGGCAUGCCUUACACAUGCAAGUCGAACGGCAGCACGGGUGCUUGCACCUGGUGGCGAGUGGCGAACGGGUGAGUAAUAUAUCGGGAACGUACCUUAUCGUGGGGGAUAACGCAGCGAAAGCUGCGCUAAUACCGCAUACGCCCUGAGGGGGAAAGCGGGGGACCGUAAGGCCUCGCGCGAUUAGAGCGGCCGAUAUCUGAUUAGCUUGUUGGUGGGGUAAAAGCCCACCAAGGCGACGAUCAGUAGCUGGUCUGAGAGGACGACCAGCCACACUGGGACUGAGACACGGCCCAGACUCCUACGGGAGGCAGCAGUGGGGAAUUUUGGACAAUGGGGGCAACCCUGAUCCAGCAAUGCCGCGUGAGUGAAGAAGGCCUUCGGGUUGUAAAGCUCUUUUGUCAGGGAAGAAACAGCAGCUCUAACACAGUCUGCGAAUGACGGUACCUGAAGAAUAAGCACCGGCUAACUACGUG